CAGGCGUUGCUAGGCGACAGGCGGUCCCUGCCAGACUCGGAGAACCCGAGAAGUGGGGGCCCGGCUCUCAGAGCCUGAGGGGCGUGAGGGGUGUACUGGUCCCGCCCCGCCCCGUGGUCAGCCUCAGCUGGCCAAAUGCAACCCGGCUGCAAGUGGCCUGGCUCCGCCCCCGCCUGCCAGGCUAGGAAGCCGGGCGGAGAGGGCUUGGAUCUGAGCUAGUUCUAGUGCACAGUGGCUUGAGUCGUGGGAGAGGCACAGAAGUCCUCCUCCUACCUCUGCCUUCUUCCUCCUGCAGGGGACUCGGGAGAGGCCCUGCCAUGAUUCUACUGGGGCAGAAGCCUUAGACUCCUGAACUUUUCAGUCGGAAGGAAUCUGGGAGUAAAUGUGGGUCAGUUGCCAUUCAUUAAUUUUUUCAUGCACUAAAUUAGUUUUCUAGCUCCUCCUAAGUGUCAGACGCUGUGCUAGGCUCCGAGGAUGAAGGAUCAAAAACACAGUCUCUCCAGUUGCUGGGGCCUACAAUCUAGGAUCUAAUGGGGAGACAAAACAAAUAAGCAAACAAAACCAAAAAUGUCUGCAUCUGUGUUUUAAACACAUACACACUGUGGUGCUAGAAGGGAAGCAGAGGAGGCGGUGGACAAGCACAAAGGAGCAGCUUAGGUGGGAGAUGGCCUCCCUGAGCAGGUGACAUCUAACCCAUGCCCUGCGGGGACGAGGGACCACAGAAGCCCGGGGGAGUGACUUCACCAAGGUCACAUGGAGGGGUGGGCACAGAGCUGGGCCUGGGACACAGGUGCCCUCACUGGUGCCCAUCUGCAUUUCCCCAUCUGUGUACCGUGGCCUUCCUGAUGGGCUCCUUGCCCUGGCUCAGGGCCGGAAGGGAGGAAACGCUGCCAUCAGUCAAGCUCAGAUCGCUCCCACCAGGAUGAGGGCAGGGAAGCAGGUGAGGAAGUAGUCUUGUUUUAUUCCCUACUUCCGGUUCUCCUCUGGGAGAUGCUAGAGAAGCCAACCGCCAAAUGGACAUUUUUUUCUCUCCUUCUGAAGGAGGAUCUAAAGACCGAGUCCUCAGCGUGCAGAGUUUACAACUGUAAGAUCAUUAUGUACAGUGCAGCUUCUGCUGCCCACUCCCUACCAAGACAGGAGAGUGUGUCUCGAAAUCUGUGUCUGUACAUGCAAAGUGAAGAACUGUGGAGCACUGUGAACACACCUUGCUGCAGGUUUGGGAGUUACAUCUCUUCCCCCUAUAUCAUUUUGGAAGGCCCAGCAAGAUUACUGGAUGGAGAGACAUAUCUGUGAUCAUGUGGAACUAGUGGAAACUGAGGUGACAACUGAGGGGUCAUGGCUCUGAUGGAUACCCACCGGUCCCUCUGAAGAAACUAGCUUCUAAUAGCUGGUCCGGGUAAUCAGAACCACACCCACAGCUGUUCAAGUUAAAAUUUCAGAAAUCCAGGUUCAUCACUCUCGAAUCAAGAAGGCCCACCACAAUGACUCCUGGGAGGCCCACACCAACAAGACGACUUCCUUAAAGGUCACCCUGAGGAGACAACGAACUCAAAGCCCUGCUCCUGUCACUCUGGACACUGACAGGCCAAUGCAUGCCUGAAGCCUGAGGACCUCAAUCCAAGAACCACUGCCGCACUUUCCAGACUUUGUCUUUCCCUGACAUCUUUAUUCUGGCCUUCCUCAUAGUGUCUGCGUUUAUUCUUGGUAUAGGCUUAAUAACUGUUACUCCAGAGGACUGGAAUACUUUCCAAAGAUGUUUCCUCUUAGCUAUAUGUUGGGAUUUUAUGCUGGUGUUUGCUAUCCUCUCAUUUAGACUGACUCAGGAAAACCCUAACACCUGAUAAAGUGUCCUAGGUGACUGGAAGACAUAGAUAGGUGCUUUAUUAGGACUUCUCUUUGAUAGCCUCAUGUUAUUAACAAUCGGCCCAAGCUUUAUAAAUUGGUUCAUGAGCUUUUUCUCAACCUUAACUCCAUAGAGAUCCAAAAAUCAUACCAACUGAUGAUAACUUCAAGGUCUAAUGUUUAUACUCACACAUGUAAAAACAUAGACUAGCAAACAAGGUGAAGAUUUAACUAUAAUCAAAAAAGAACAGGGAAUGAACAGGGAAAUGGUUUCUGACCAGAAGAAGCCUGUGCUGCAGCUAGCCGGGUAGCAAGCAAAAGGCUCCUCCUAGGUCCCGACCCCUCCUGCACCUAAAACAUGCCCAGGUCUCACACGUGCCCAGACAUUGCCCUUUGUUCUCAGUAGAGUUUCUGUGAGCCCCUGCUUCCCUAUGUAAAUAAGAUGAAUCCCAGUGUGCCUUUUUAUCCAAUGUAUAAACUGCUGACUGUAUCUACCUCAACCAAUGCACUAAUGUUAGUGUCUUGCCGCUGUAUCCUCACCCCUCUUUUCCCAAAUCUAUAUAACCCUGUUCAUUGCCCAGAUGGGACUGAUCACUUUGUGGAGAAUUCCCCUGAUCCGUCUGCUAGUGAAAUAAACCUGCCUCCAACUUCCAGGGUGUGUGCUCGAUUCUUCUCGGCCUGACUCUGUUAUAUCACCGAGAGCUACAACAUUGGGAGUUAUAUUUGCUAUAAUAGUGGUGCACAC
rnacentral:lncRNA from 1 species